rnacentral:misc_RNA from 1 species
GUGGCAGCAUCUCCUUAAUAAUCUUAAGCAUGGUUGCUUUGGGGAGAGAGACAUCCUCCUUGGAUUUCCCCACGAUUUCCAUCGGCUCCAUCUCCUGAGUGAUUGAAUCGAAGGAUUUAGGGCACCGCGGUGGUCACAAUUUGGGGAAUUGGAAGGGCAAUUUGGGGAGAAAAGGGGAAGGGGAGGAGGAGAAAGAUCGUGAAG